rnacentral:rRNA from 1 species
UGAACCUGCCGAAGGAUCAUUG